UACUCCUACGGGAGGCAGCAGUGGGGAAUAUUGGACAAUGGGCGAAAGCCUGAUCCAGCCAUGCUGCGUGUGUGAAGAAGGUCUUCGGAUUGUAAAGCACUUUAAGUUGGGAGGAAGGGCAGUAAGCUAAUACCUUGCUGUUUUGACGUUACCGACAGAAUAAGCACCGGCUAACUCUGUGCCAGCAGCCGCGGUAAUACAGAGGGUGCAAGCGUUAAUCGGAAUUACUGGGCGUAAAGCGCGCGUAGGUGGUUUGUUAAGUUGGAUGUGAAAGCCCCGGGCUCAACCUGGGAACUGCAUCCAAAACUGGCAAGCUAGAGUAUGGUAGAGGGUGGUGGAAUUUCCUGUGUAGCGGUGAAAUGCGUAGAUAUAGGAAGAAACACCAGUGGCGAAGGCGACCACCUGGACUGAUACUGA
rnacentral:rRNA from 1 species